UACUUGCUCGUCCAGUGGUCUAAGACCGU
rnacentral:piRNA from 1 species